AUGCAAUCAAAGGAUAAAUUCUUGAUUCAGAGCACCAGGGUGGCUGCCAGCACCGACAUGGAUGAAAUCCCCCCUGACUGUUUUAACAAGGAGGCUAAUAAGGUGAUUGAGGAAAUGAAGCUCAAGGUUGUCUACACAUUGCCUGGUGGAAGCUCAGACGACUCUAGUGUCACAUCUUCAGCAAAUAGGAGCUUCAAGCAGGGCGACGACGAUCUCUUGAUGCAGAAUGCAAGCAUUGAAGAGGUAACGUGCUCUUUCCAAACAGAAAUUUCACAUGUUUAUUUAGAAACCUGA
rnacentral:rRNA from 1 species